GUACGACAAUAGCAAACCCGCCGAAAGGUGGCGACGCAAAGCUAUAGGGGCUAACGUGAACGAUAAACACUAUGCCAGCCAGUUGCCGAA
rnacentral:ncRNA from 1 species